rnacentral:rRNA from 1 species
UAGGGAAUCUUCGGCAAUGGGGGGAACCCUGACCGAGCAACGCCGCGUGAGUGAAGAAGGUUUUCGGAUCGUAAAGCUCUGUUGUUAAGGAAGAACGAGUGUGAGAAUGGAAAGUUCAUACUGUGACGGUACUUAACCAGAAAGGGACGGCUAACUACGUGCCAGCAGCCGCGGUAAUACGUAGGUCCCGAGCGUUGUCCGGAUUUAUUGGGCGUAAAGCGAGCGCAGGCGGUUAGAUAAGUCUGAAGUGAAAGGCAGUGGCUCAACCAUUGUAGGCUUUGGAAACUGUUUAACUUGAGUGGAGGAGGGGAGGGUGGAAUUCCAUGUGUAGCGGUGAAAUGCGUAGAUAUAUGGAGGAACACCGGUGGCGAAAGCGGCUCUCUGGUCUGUAACUGACGCUGAGGCUCGAAAGCGUGGGGAGCGAACAGG